rnacentral:rRNA from 1 species
AGUGAACGCUGGCGGCGUGCUUAACACAUGCAAGUCGAACGAGAGCGGGUUAUAGCUUGCUAUAAUUGUCAGCUAAGUGGCGCACGGGUGAGUAAUGUAUAGGUAAUAUGCCUCUUACUAAGGGAUAACAAAUGGAAACGUUUGCUAAUACCUUAUACUCCUUAUUAACAGAAGUUAAUAAGGGAAAGAUUUAUUGGUAAGAGAUUAGCCUGUAUUGUAUCAGUUAGUUGGUGGGGUAAUGGCUUACCAAGACUAUGACACAUAACUGGUUUGAGAGGAUGAUCAGUCACACUGGAACUGAGACACGGUCCAGACUCCUACGGGAGGCAGCAGUGGGGAAUAUUGCACAAUGGACGAAAGUCUGAUGCAGCAACGCCGCGUGGAGGAUGACACAUUUCGGUGCGUAAACUCCUUUUAUAUGAGAAGAUAAUGACGGUAUUAUAUGAAUAAGCACCGGCUAACUCCAUGCCAGCCGCCGCAGUAACAC